UACGGAGGGUGCAAGCGUUAUCCGGAUUCACUGGGUUUAAAGGGUGCGUAGGUGGGUUGGUAAGUCAGUGGUGAAAUCCCCGAGCUUAACUUGGGAACUGCCAUUGAUACUAUCAGUCUUGAAUACCGUGGAGGUCAGCGGAAUAUGUCAUGUAGCGGUGAAAUGCUUAGAUAUGACAUAGAACACCAAUGGCGAAGGCAGCUGGCUACUCGGAUAUUGACACUGAGGCACGAAAGCGUGGGGAGCAAACAGG
rnacentral:rRNA from 1 species